UACGGGGGGAGCAAGCGUUGUUCGGAUUUACUGGGCGUAAAGGGCGCGUAGGCGGCCACCGCAAGUCGACUGUGAAAUCUCUGGGCUUAACCCAGAAAGGUCAGCCGAUACUGCGGGGCUAGAGUGCAGAAGGGGCAACUGGAAUUCUCGGUGUAGCGGUGAAAUGCGUAGAUAUCGAGAGGAACACCUGCGGCGAAGGCGGGUUGCUGGGCUGACACUGACGCUGAGGCGCGAAAGCUAGGAGAGCGAACGGG
rnacentral:rRNA from 1 species